rnacentral:rRNA from 1 species
UGAAUACGAGACGCUAAGGCGUCGAAGUAGUGUAUGUCAUACUUCCAAGAAAAGCUUGCACUGUCAUAAGUAAAAAAUGCCUGUACCAUAACCGACACAGGUGGGUAGGUAGAGUAUACUAAGGGGCGCGAGAUAACUCUCUCUAAGGAACUCGGCAAAAUAACUCCGUAACUUCGGGAGAAGGAGUACCUUAUUCUAUAAGGUUGCAAUAACAAGAUCCAAGCAACUGUUUAUCAAAAACACAGGUCUCCGCUAAGUCGUAAGACGAUGUAUGGGGGCUGACGCCUGCCCAGUGCCAGAAGGUUAAAGAAGUCGGUUAGCAUUAGCGAAGCUGGUAACUGAAGCCCUGGUGAACGGCGGCCGUAACAAUAACGGUCCUAAGGUAGCGAAAUUCCUUGUCGGGUAAGUUCCGACCCGCACGAAAGGCGUAAUGAUUUGGAUACUGUCUCGGAGAGGGGCUCGGUGAAAUAGACUUGUCUGUGAAGAUGCGGACUACCUGCACCAGGACAGAAAGACCCUAUGAAGCUUACUGUAACUUGAAAUUGAAAUUGGACUUUAUUCGCGCAGUAUAGGUGGGAGGUGUUGAUUAUAAUCUUGCGGGAUUAUUGGAGCCAUCAGUGAGAUACCACUCUUGUAAUGUUAGAUUUCUAACUUUGAAUCAUUAUCUGGUCAAAGGACAGUUUCAGGCGGGCAGUUUGACUGGGGCGGUCGCCUCCCAAACGGUAACGGAGGCGUACAAAGGUUUCCUCUGAACGGGUAGAAAUCGUAUCUAGAGUGUAAAGGCAUAAGGAAGCUUGACUGUGAGACCUACAAGUCGAACAGGGACGAAAGUCGGUCUUAGUGAUCUGACGGUACUGAGUGGAAAGGCCGUCACUCAACGGAUAAAAGUUACUCUAGGAUAACAGGCUGAUCUCCCCCAAGAGUUCACAUCGACGGGGAGGUUUGGCACCUCGAUGUCGGCUCAUCGCAUCCUGGGGCGGUAGUACGUCCCAAGGGUUGGGCUGUUCGCCCAUGAAAACGGUACGCGAGCUGGGUUCAGAACGUCGUGAGACAGUUCGGUCCAUAUCCGGUGUAGGCGUUAGAAUAUUGAGAGGAGCCUUCUUUAGUACGAGAGGACCGAGAAGGACAUACCUCUGGUGUACCAGUUAUCGUGCCAACGGUAAACGCUGGGUAGCUAUGUAUGGAGUGGAUAACCGCUGAAAGCAUCUAAGUGGGAAGCCCACCUCAAGAUAAG